rnacentral:ncRNA from 1 species
CUUUAGUGAAAGAUUUUCUAACUCGAGACGGAAAAAGGGGAAGCUAAAGAUUAGAAGGAGAGGGGUGAGAAGACGUAAGAAAUUCCCCCACCUGCAGGGAGAGGGGUUUUUCGCUUGUGCUAGUCACCCCACUAGACCCCUUUUAACUUCG